CUAAGGUAGCAUAAUCAUUUGUUAUUUAAUUGAUAGCUGGAAUGAAAGGUUAAACUAGCUUAUUAGGUUUGUAAAAUUAUACAAGAAAUUAAAGUUAAGGUAAGAAUUCUUUAAUUUUCUAGGGGACGAUAAGACCCUAGAAGCUUGACGAGUUGGGAGGUUUGUUUUAGAAAUUUAUUCGUUUUACUGGGGUGGUAAAAAUAAGUAAGCUAUUUGUAUACUUAAAGGAUCCUUAAAAUAAAGAAAAAAUGGAAAAGUUACUCUAGGGAUAA
rnacentral:rRNA from 1 species